CAGCAAAUGAGAUAAGAAUUGUUUUGAUAAUUUUUCUCUGUGCUUCUCUCACAGCUUCUCUCUGUUCAGAGGGCAUGUGUAUACCACAGAUCAUAUCAGUAAUAAGUGCAGAUUUCUUGCCAGAAAACAGUAUCCUUGAAGCAGGAAAGGGACAGGACAACUCUGUAACCCUGUUGCUGUUGCAAAGGAGGAAGGAAUUGUCUGCAUUCCUAUAGCAGCUUGAAAACUUGUUCCUCUAUCUGCAAGUGACCCGUGGUGUGAGGUAAUGGGAAGAGAGCCAAACUUUAAACAGUUUUUAUUUGGAUUCAGUUGAAUGCCAGCAACUUUUUUCCAAGGAAAUUAUCAGUGAAGGAAACCGGAGGUGAAAUGGGCUAUUAUUGAUUCCAAAGAUCUCCAUACCUUGUGAAUCAGAGGAAGAUGAACUCAUCAGAGGUAUGAAAAUGAGAUACAAGAAAAACAGCACAGCUAUACUGGAGUUUAUCACUGAACUCCUCAGUGCUUUCUGAUGAAUGAGACUAUUAUUCUGGGAGCUUAUAACAAAAGGCCCUUCCUUUGUUGACCAUGGGAUUUUUGUUGAAAGUUCAUAUUCAGACAAAAAAAAAAAAAAAUUCGGCCAGCUGAUACUUGGUGUGUCAGUAGGAAAUAACUUUUGAUGGUGAUGUGGAUAAGAUCUGGCUGACACCCAGUCCCUCUGGGAAAGAAUAUACUUAUUCAAUCAGAACACUGAGCUUUCUGGAAGAAUCAUUCAGACAAAGCCUUUUAAACAUGCCACACCAAGGGACCCUGCUCUCUACUCCCUCGCUCUGCACUGAACUCCAGAGCCCCACUGAACACUGCAAUGCUUUGAUGAUGUGUCAGAGGGGCCAAUUUUGCAGCCACUCAGGACCAGGAGUUCUCAAUACACUUGAACAGAAAACCACUAAAUACAUACAGAAAUAUUGUGGAAACACUGAAAUUCCAGAAUCUGUUUGUAUACUGCAACAGUUGAAGUGAAGAUAAUACCAAAACCAGGGUGAACCAUGUUCCUUCAUUGCCAUAUCAAGGGAUAUAUUUGACUUUUCUGGUAUUCUGCUAAGCUUUUGUCAGCUGUAUAAUCAGCAAAAGGAUGUGUCUGUUCUCAGCAUGGUAACACUACGAAGUCUUAAUGGGGUUCUGGGAGAGAAAAAGAAGGGACUUUCCAGAUUUUUCCCUACUUAAUGACUAAACAUUUACUUUAAGUGAUGACAGUGUCUAAUGGUUCUGAUGGGAAAUAUGAGAUAGUUUAAACACAGCAGGAGUUAAUGCCUGUUUUUUCCCUGUUUUUCUGUUUCUAAUGCUUAAUAAAUAAUAACUCAUCAGUGGAAGUUUCUGCACUGUGAAGUCUCUUCUGAGAGUGUCUUGUGACUAAAACUUUGCAAGUUCUACUCAAUCUGAACAACAGAGCAUAGUUAAGAAUCUUAAAUAAUGUGAAGCAUGUGGGCUCAUUUAAACAUCAUGUUCAUUUAAAUGGCUGAAGAUAGUAACGGCUUUUUAUCUUGAAGGAAAACCAAAAUAAAAAAUAAUGAUUACUUCAAAAA